rnacentral:rRNA from 1 species
AGAGUUUGAUUAUGGCUCAGGAUGAACGCUGGCGGCGUGCUUAACACAUGCAAGUCGAACGGAGCCAAGAGAUGCUUGCAUCUCGGAAGCUUAGUGGCGGACGGGUGAGUAACGCGUGAGUAACCUGCCCUUUACCGGGGGAUAACACUUAGAAAUAGGUGCUAAUACCGCAUAAGCGCACAGUGCCGCAUGGCACAGUGUGAAAAACUCCGGUGGUAAAAGGAUGGACUCGCGUCUGAUUAGCCAGUUGGCAGGGUAACGGCCUACCAAAGCGACGAUCAGUAGCCGGCCUGAGAGGGUGAACGGCCACAUUGGGACUGAGACACGGCCCAAACUCCUACGGGAGGCAGCAGUGGGGGAUAUUGCACAAUGGGGGAAACCCUGAAUGCAGCGACGCCGCGUGAGUGAAGAAGUAUUUCGGUAUGUAAAGCUCUAUCAGCAGGGAAGAAAAUGACGGUACCUGACUAAGAAGCCCCGGCUAACUACGUGCCAGCCGCCGC